AUUGUACUCCUUCUGUCCGAAUAUACUUGUCCGAGGAAUGGAUGUAUCUAGAUGUAUUUUAGUUCUAAAUACAUUCAUUUAUAUCCAUUUUUUCGACAAGUGUUUUCGGACGGAGGGAGUAGCAG
rfam:Triticum aestivum genome assembly, contig: Triticum_aestivum_CS42_TGACv1_scaffold_404705_5BL